rnacentral:rRNA from 3 species
AAACUUUCAACAAUGGAUCUCUUGGUUCCGGCAUCGAUGAAGAACGCAGCGAACUGCGAUAAUUAAUGUGAAUUGCAGAAUUCAGUGAAUCAUCGAGUCUUUGAACGCACAUUGCGCCCCCUGGUAUUCCGGGGGGCAUGCCUGUCCGAGCGUCAUU